rnacentral:rRNA from 1 species
AUUGAACGCUGGCGGCAGGCCUAACACAUGCAAGUCGAACGGUAACAGGAAGCAGCUUGCUGCUUUGCUGACGAGUGGCGGACGGGUGAGUAAUGUCUGGGAAACUGCCUGAUGGAGGGGGAUAACUACUGGAAACGGUAGCUAAUACCGCAUAACGUCGCAAGACCAAAGAAGGGGACCUUCGGGCCUCUUGCCAUCGGAUGUGCCCAGAUGGGAUUAGCUAGUAGGUGGGGUAACGGCUCACCUAGGCGACGAUCCCUAGCUGGUCUGAGAGGAUGACCAGCCACACUGGAACUGAGACACGGUCCAGACUCCUACGGGAGGCAGCAGUGGGGAAUAUUGCACAAUGGGCGCAAGCCUGAUGCAGCCAUGCCGCGUGUAUGAAGAAGGCCUUCGGGUUGUAAAGUACUUUCAGCGGGGAGGAAGGGAGUAAAGUUAAUACCUUUGCUCAUUGACGUUACCCGCAGAAGAAGCACCGGCUAACUCCGUG